CUGGGGGUCUGGAGUGGCUUGCGUUUGACACACAAAGAAUCCAGGGCAAGGAUGAUACCCACACACAGGGUGUCUGCACUGGAAAGGGCUCCGUGUAUUUACCUGUAGGGCAAUUCAAUUAAAACUCAAGAAAGGGGUAAAUCUAUGAGAUUAGCUCCAGGAACAAUGGCGCUGAUUGUUGCUGGCCCUCACCAUCCCUAUGAAAGCAGAUGUUAAACAAAUAUUUUGAUGCCUCCAAUCAGCCCCAGUGUGAAUCUCCUGUUUUUGUUUUUCUUUAUCUCCAGAGAUGGGAAUUCUACAGUCUUCAUCAGUAGCCCACUUUGGUGAUCUAUUUAAAAUUGGUGAUCUAUUUAAAAGAUUCCAUAGAACUUGAUUGUAAAUAUCCAAAUGGAGGGGCAUGAUUCAUUAAUAUAGGGACAUUCUGGAGUUGUCCAUUCGGCCUUUGCUCCUCCCCAUUCUCAGAAGCACCCUUCAUUACCGGAGAGGUUUCUUGGACGUUUGUGGCAGGCUCAGGAGGAAGAGAAGAGGUAGAGGGGGAAAAGUGUAUAGACUGGGGGCUGGGGGCAAUAUUGCUGGGAGGACCCUCAAAGGAAGCCACUGGAGUCUUCUAGAUGUUUGGAAGAGAGGAGUAGUUGAGCAGCUGCAGUGUGACACAAUGGAAAAGUAAUUUAAGAAGUGUCCUGGGCCACAUAUUCCCUUCAUGACAUGGCAUUCGUCUCCUCCAGAGGAUACAGCACCAAGGCACCAUCUUGGAAGUAGACUGGAGCUCUCAGCAGACCAGAACCUGUGGUGACAGAAAGGAGCAGAGGUGAAGACGAAGAAACUUUCCACUGAAAGAGGGGACUGCAGACCCAACCAGGCCCUUCACAUUGGGGGUGGACACCAGCAGCCUAGGGGGCCCCCAGCACAUUCCACCAGGGAACACAUUCCUGCCUGCACCCCUGGCCCAGAAUUAAGGCAUAUUAUGAAUAUUCAGUGAAACAACGUGUGUGCUCACCAGGCAGGAAGAGCUCAGCAAAUGGUGGCUGGUCUGGAAAUUAUUGUCAUCACUAUAAUCCUCAUCGACAUCAUCAGCCUUAUUGUCAUCAUCAUCAACCUCAUCAACGUCAUCAUCAGCCUCAUCAACGUCAUCAUCAGCCUCAUCACUGUCAUCAUCAGCCCUUUGUCAUCAUCAUCAUCCACCUUGCUGUUCUCUUCCUUGUUGACAUCACUAUCCUCAUCCUCCUCAUCACCAUCAACAGCAUUAUUUUUAUUUUUUAUUCUUCCACCUGUAAGAGUUUCUUUUCCUCCCUCUUAUUGUUUUCCUCUUGGGAUGACUAGUGGUGAAGGAAGUGUCAGAGGCAAUGACCUCACAGCUGUCGUUGCCAUGGGUGACACCUCCUAGAGAGACCUUACUGGAACUUUCAGUCCAGGGGAGUUUCUGCUGUUCCAGGAUGGAGGAAAUGUUCAAGAACUGUGGAGCAUCUGAGACUUUUUCCUACUUUUGAUGUCCACCUAGUCAAAGUUCAGGUAGGCUUAUUGUCUAUUAUAAAAGCUCCAGGCUCCCAAAGCUUGGCGAAACCCCGUCUCUACAAAAAAAUACAAAAAUUAGCCAGGGUUGGUGGUGACUUGCACCUGUAGUCCCAGGUACUCAGGAGGUUGAAGUGGGAGGAUCGCUUGAGCCUGGGAGGUGGUGGUUGUGGUAAGCCAAGAUCUCACCACUGCACUCCAGCCUGGGUGACAGAGUGAGACCUUGCCUCAAAAACAAACAAACAAAAAACCAAAGAUUUUUUAAAAAAAAG
rnacentral:lncRNA from 1 species